CCUAUGCAGUGAGGCCCUCAUCCCUCCUCGGAAUUCUCCCCAGCUGUGGCCAUUUGGCCUACUGUCAUUUAUGAUUUAGUAGAAACCAAACAAGAGAUCCUCCCAGAUUCAGGACUAGAUGUUUUCAAAAGCCAUUUUGACACAUUGAGCAUCAUAGAGUAUAUUUUAGUCAUUUAGCAGGUACAUUUUAGUCAUUCAGCAGAUGCUCUUAUCCAGAGCAGUUACGGUUGUGCCUUGAUCAAGGGCACAUCGACAGAUUUUUCACCAGCGACUCAAACCAGUGACCAGAGUCGAGUGGCCCUAUACGCUCACUACGCAAGUUGCGUAGGGUUCCGCAAAUUACGCAAGGUCCCCGCCUCCUCCUCGUGCCAAAGCGGGUGUCACUGUUUACAACUUCGAUGAGAGGAUGAAGCGGAACUAUCCUUCUGGUCACGAAAAGAGAGAGAAAAAAACACCAUGAGAGUGAAUUGCGGGAACAGAAAUCAGGUAAACUUGUGUUCUCUCCUCUCCAAGUGUCAUGUGAGCAUAUAACAGUAACGUUAAGUUGAUCUCCUAGCUUGCAGUACAUCUCUCUCUAGUCUGUCUGUCUUGCUAACCUAGCUUGGCAGUGCAUCUCUUGGUCUCUCUGUGUCUUGCUUGCUUGCCAGCCACUUCCAGGGCUGUGUUCUGUGACUUUGUGCCUGACAAAGGUGAGAGUGAAAUACAACUAUUUAUUACGUUUGAUAAACGCCAACGGGCAACGGUGUUUAUAAACUGCAGCUCGGAAAAGAUAACCGCGUUGUGCGUGAACAUUUGUUGAUAUGCGCGUGCACGAAGUGAAACUCGCGCUUUCCAGCAGCAACCUCUGUGGGGACCAGUCAAGACAAUAUAUGGGCUUGAUGGCACUCCUCAUAGGCGCACAUAAUUUUAAAACAAGACAAUGAUUAUCUAGUCUCUCAGUCAAGGUUUAGUUACAACUCUGGACUAAUUCAAGACGAAAAACAAUGGAUUGACAUUGACUAUUGAUUUAUAUAUUGAAUUUAAAAUGUUGAUUAGCUGGACGGUUUAUUAACCCAACUUAACACAGGCUACUGUUUGGCCGUAGCCCACGCCAAAAAAUGAAAGGUACCCUACAAACCAACCGUGACCUUCUCUUGUGAAGCCCAGACGUAAGAGAGAGAACAAUGGCUAAACCUGGUCUUAACUUCCAAUGCUCCAUCCCCCUGCCCAACCCCCCUCCACGCCACUCCACCAACCACCAGGCUACCCGGUAUCAGAAAAUUCCAGGCAUUCCCGUGAUUGGCAGAUAGCAGGUUGAUUGGCAUGACCCCGCGAACACUGGUAAGUACGACACAACCCACUAAUAGCCUAACACAUAACCCACAGCUGUCUGUGCGGGUCGCUACAAUAGUGUUGUUAUCUAUAAUUUACAGGUGCUAUACUUACAUUUGUCAGUAGAGGAGAUGCUGGAUCAUAAGUCAGUACAAGCACAGACUCAGUUGAUCCACAUCCAACCUCAGCCAGUACUAACACAGACCCAGUACAGCCGUCUUCAGCAAGUACUAACACAGACCCAGUACAGGCAGCUUCAGCAAGUACUAACACAGACCCAGUACUGGCAGCUUCAGCCAGUACUAACACAGACCCAGUACAGGCAGCUUCAGCCAGUACUAACACAGACCCAGUACAGCCAUCUUCAGCAAGUACUAACACAGACCCAGUACAGCCGUCUUCAGCAAGUACUAACACAGACCCAGGUGAAGUACAGGCAGCCUCAGCCAGUACUAGCACAAAUAGAGGUGUUCAGCCAGCAUCAGAUAGAAGCAGCUCAGAGCCUAAUAGAACAGUUGCUGCUCCAUCAAAUGACCCAGCAGAUUGGCCCCCAGGCUUAACAGACUUUAUGAGGACUGAGUUAGUGCGCAGUGGUCCAUUCAAACCAGGACUGGGUUUUUCUUACCCUAAAGACAAGUCUAGAAAAGGUUUCCAUUCAGGCUUAUUACCGUAAUUUCCGGACUAUUAAGCGCACCUGAAUAUAAGCCGCACCCACUGAAUUAAAAUGUUUUUUUUAUUUUGAACAUAAAUAAGCCGCACAUGUCUAUAAGCCGCAGGUGCCUACCGGUACAUUGAAACAAAUUAACUUUACACAGGCUUUAACGAAACACGGCUUGUAAUAAAAAAUUAGCAGUAAGUUUAGUUGUCUUUUUGCACUGAGUCAAUUCCUCACGCUGCUGUUUCCAACGUCUUAUCAUCAACUCAUUAAGACCAAGCUCCCGUGCAGCAGCUUUAUUUCCUUUUCCAACAGCCAGAUCAAUCGCCUUCAACUUGAAAGCUGCAUCAUAUG
rnacentral:lncRNA from 1 species